AUGGAGAAGCUUUUUUGCUCGCAGUUUGGCGCAUCAAAGCGCCCCCUGUUGCUCAAUGAACAGAUGUCCCAAUGGGCCGAACUUCAUAGGAUAUCCGGCGCUGCCAUGAAGGGUGUCAUAAUCUGGUUGUGGCCAACCGAGCCUGUUCCGAAUAGCUAUUUCAGUUUGGUGCAAAGGCUUGUUGACGCGGUGCCACGUAUCGACGCUGUGAAGCGGUCAACGUGCAUUGAGGGUGCACGGAUGGCUUUUGCCCGAGUCAAGACAUUCUGGGGGAAGAUGAAGGCCGUCGAUGUUGCGACGAAGGGUCCAUCCAAAGGCUAG
rnacentral:rRNA from 1 species